AAGUGUUGAGGGAUCCUUAGGCCAGUUUCAUUUGACUGUUGACAGACCGUGAAAAAAUUGAUGCAAAUUUUUAAGGUUUAAUUAUUAUUGAAAUUAAAGGAUAUAUUCAAUAUAUUUACUACAUUUCUCCCCGUACGAUAAAACUUCGAAGCUCUCAUCACAGUUGAACUUUUUUCCAUAAUCGGAAAGUUAGGUUAUUAUUGAAUUCUGAGAUAUAAAACACAGUUCUUGGACGUGAAUCUGCACAUAUCAAUUUAUCAGAUACAGAAAUGAAAAAAUCCUAGGAUGGCAAUUAUCAUCCCUCGGAGAGACUGUAUUUGGAAUGAAAAUCCUUCUUCAGGGGUAAAGUCCUGAAGCAGUUCGUUCAGGAGAGUUUCUAUUUGAAAUAUAUGAUCCAUUUGUCAAGUUUACAUAAUGUACUUCAGAUCAAAUUACAUGCAAACUCACAGAAUGAGAAACAUCUUUGAUCUUGGUGUAUGAACAUAAGAAUUUCUAGAUAACAAACGGUUCUUGGGGGCAUAUAUAAAUUUAUCAGAUCAAGAAAUGUAUAAUAUCAUCUCUCGGACAGUGUUAUUUGGUAAAAAAAAAUGUUCUUCAGAGUAAGUUUCUUAAGCAGUUCGUUCAGAAGAGUUUCUAUGUAAAGCAAAUGAUCUAUUUCGAUUCUUUUUAACUGAACACAACAGAUUUCUGACAACUUUCAAGCAAUUGGGUAGUGUACGGCGAUGAUUUUCUUAGGCUAGAUCUAUGGAAAAAUAUGUUUUGAGAUAAGUUAUUCAGUUGGAAUGAUAUAAUGAUUAUUGAAACACAAUCUAUGAGUGAGUUUUUGCUUUAAAAUUAUAUAUUUAUAGACAUUUGUCAAGUUCUACCAUUUAGGGUAAGAUUUUUGCUAUUAUCGUUUAGAGAGGGACCCUGUAGGUUUUUGUUCAAAAUAAACAGAAUUAAACGUUA